UGAAAAACAAUAUAAGGAAUUGAGGUAGAUGUCAUCUACUUGGAUUUUAAGAAAGCCUUCUAUAUGGGAUCUCAUCCUAUUCUCCCAGAGAAACUGAGUGGCUGUGACAGAUGAUUAAAUGGUCAAGUGGGUGGCAAAUUGUUUUAGGGAUCACAC